CUCCCCGCCUAGGUUUGUUCGCGGGGCGGGGCGAGGCAGGAUGUCACGUGACCCUGCGAGUGGCUCAGAUCCGAACUGGCCGCCUUUCUCCCCUUCCCCCACCCCAGGUAAAGAAUUUGAGACACAAGAGAUUGAGUAACUUGUCCGAGAUCACGGCUGUGUGGUGCAGAAGCUGGAUUCUGAUCUGCGGCGGGUUGGCUCCAGAACGUGAGUUGUUGAACACAAUUCUGGUGAAAGACAACCCAAGAUGUUCGUUACCCUCCACGGGGGACCUACUGAAGAUGUGCUGCUUUAGUUGAAUCCCACACCACAUUCAGUCUCUGGCGAGGCUUCAGCCACCACCCCCUCCCCAGCCUCCGCCAAAAAAAUUGUUUUGAUAAUUUAGUGGAAGAAUAUUAAAUUGAUUUUCCUUCAGAAUAAAGGCUACUUUUCAGUUUGCAGUUUACAA
rnacentral:lncRNA from 10 species